rnacentral:lncRNA from 1 species
CUUUGCUGGUGAUAUCCUCCUUUAGAUGUCCAACUCUUGUGUAGUUAGGAAACCAGGCUGGACAUGGAAACUGACAGCAGUCCUUACUCAGAGGAAGUAGCUGUGAGCCUCCUACUUGUUGACUUGCAGUAACACCGUUGUGCUGUAUGGAACAAUGGAGACAAGUGAGAGCGAAGCUACUGGCAUCUCCCGCACUUAUCAUCCAACAGUUAUUUCAGAAAGGCGAGCGAACACAGGGAUGGCCUAUGAGAAUAGUGAAACCUUUUGUGGUCUUCUGAGGCGUGUUUGACUGCAGAACAUGCUGCUAGCCCAGUGUCAACGUAAGGGUUUGCAUGGCAAAGAGCCCAGAGCUUACAUCUCAUCUCCCAGCUUCUCUCAAGAUUGCACAAGCAAGGCAAUAGUGAGGUAAGCAAUCACAAGAAGCAAAAGAAAGAAACCUACAGCU